UGUAUCAAGACGAUAAAAUUAAAAUUUUAUAUUAAGAUAAUGAGAUGAUAAUAUAUAAAACAUGUUAAUUAAAUAUUCGAAGUUAGCAUGGCUCGAUUCAAUUGGUAACAUAAUUUUGAUUGAUUAAGACAAAGAGUUGGUUCAACAAUCUUUUAUACGGGGGGAAGUGGACAUUAGUAACAACUUUUUUUAUUAUUUUACUUACAAAACUAUGAAACGUAAUUUAUAUUUGUGUAAUAAAAAUAAAAAAAAUAGAAUACUUUUGUAGAAUAUUUGUGUAAUAAAAAUUAACAACGAAACGACACUUUCGCAAAUUCCUCUUCCUCUGGGCAAAUUUCUGGAAAAGAUGAUGCAGAGGUUUUCUUUUCUUCCUCGCAUGGUUCGUCCUUCUCUUCCAAUUUGGAAAGAUUUUGGGAUUCCUUGUGAGAAUGGAGCGGUACCCUACUGCUAUUUCUCUGGUUAAAAUCAUGAAGAGGAAGGGAAUCUGCUCUAAUCUGGUCAUUCUCAGCAUCCUCAUGAACUGUUAUUCUCAUAUGGGAAGACUGGGCUUCGGUUUAUCUGUAUUUGCCAACACUCUGAAACGGGGAUAUCAUCCAGAUCCCAUUAUGUUCACUAUCCUAAUCCAAGGUUUCUGUCAAAAAGGUCUAAUAGAUGAUGUUUUUUUGCUUAACAACAAAGUAACAGAAGAAGGGUUUAUACUGGAUGAAGUUACGGAGGGAACGCUCAUCAAGGGGUUAUGCUCUGUGGGACAACCAAAGUCAGCACUGCAAUUGUUUGUGAACAAUAAGGUUUGGUCGAACGUGAGCUAUGCUACAAUGAUUGAUUAUUUGUUCAAAUUUAAUAGUUCCAAAAAAGCAGAAGAAUUAUAUCAUGAAAUGAUUCAAAAAAAAGUUGAAUGUAAUGUUAUUACCUAUACAGUUGUAGUCAAGGGCUUUUGUUCAAUGGGUAGCUUAGAAAAAGCCUGUGNUACAUGUCAUGAAAUGCAAUUAAAUGGCGUGAGGCCAAAUCUUAAUACGUAUACUGUACUCAUGGAUGGAUUUUGUAGCAAAGGAAGGGUCAGGGACGCCACUACUGUCUUUGGCAUGAUUAUUAGAGCGUAUCUCAAACCUGGUGUAAAUAUCUUAAAUUCUUUAAUGCAUGUCUACGAUAUGGUUAAUCAUAUGGAAAACUCUAAAAGAGUGUGGAAUUCAAUGACCCUUAUGGGACUCAACCAUGAUACUUGGAGCUACAAUAUCAUGCUUAAUGUACUUGGAAAAGACAAUAGGACANAAGAGAUUCUAACUUUGUUAUAUGAAAUGGAUGACAACAAUAUCACUNCCGAUCGUGUGACUCGCGAAACUUUUUUAAGGUACCUGGUUAAAUCUCGACCAAUAUAUGGACAGUUUAUUAAAUUAAUGGAUUUUGUAAACCCACCUCAGAAUGUACAAUGGGUACAAAUUUGGAAUAUCCUUUCGAGUGGAUUAUGGAAGGUGGGGAAAGUUGAAGAGGCAAUAAAAAUAUUUUUAUAUCUUUCCCCUAAAGGCAUUGAACUUUUGGUAUACCAUGGAACACCGGGGAACAUAGCCCCGGUGUUCCAUGGUAUACCAAAAGUUCAAUGCCUCAACAAGCAAACCCUUCCUACACAAAUCUAUUAUUAUAAUGGUAUAACUAUUUAAAUUUAAGGCAUCCUCUGUAGGGGAAAGAUAUAAAAAUAUUUUUAUUGCCUCUUCAACUUUCCCCACCUUCCAUAACCCACUCGAAAGGAUAUUCCAAAUUUGUACCCAUUGUACAUUUCGAGGUGGGUUUACAAAAUCCAUUAAUUUAAUAAACUGUCCAUAUAUUGGUCGAGAUUUAACCAGGUACCUUAAAAAAGUUUCGCGAGUCACACGAUCGGNAGUGAUAUUGUUGUCAUCCAUUUCAUAUAACAAAGUUAGAAUCUCUUNUGUCCUAUUGUCUUUUCCAAGUACAUUAAGCAUGAUAUUGUAGCUCCAAGUAUCAUGGUUGAGUCCCAUAAGGGUCAUUGAAUUCCACACUCUUUUAGAGUUUUCCAUAUGAUUAACCAUGUCGUAGACAUGCAUUAAAGAAUUUAAGAUAUUUACACCAGGUUUGAGAUACGCUCUAAUAAUUAUGCCAAAGACAGUAGUGGCGUCCCUGACCCUUCCUUUGCUACAAAAUCCAUCCAUGAGUACAGUAUACGUAUUAAGAUUUGGCCUCACGCCAUUUAAUUGCAUUUCAUGACAUGUANCACAGGCUUUUUCUAAGCUACCCAUUGAACAAAAGCCCUUGACUACAACUGUAUAGGUAAUAACAUUACAUUCAACUUUUUUUUGAAUCAUUUCAUGAUAUAAUUCUUCUGCUUUUUUGGAACUAUUAAAUUUGAACAAAUAAUCAAUCAUUGUAGCAUAGCUCACGUUCGACCAAACCUUAUUGUUCACAAACAAUUGCAGUGCUGACUUUGGUUGUCCCACAGAGCAUAACCCCUUGAUGAGCGUUCCCUCCGUAACUUCAUCCAGUAUAAACCCUUCUUCUGUUACUUUGUUGUUAAGCAAGAAAGCAUCAUCUAUUAGACCUUUUUGACAGAAACCUCGGAUUAGGAUAGUGAACAUAAUGGGAUCUGGAUGAUAUCCCCGUUUCAGAGUGUUGGCAAAUACAGAUAAACCGAAGCCCAGUCUUCCCGUAUGAGAAUAACAGUUCAUGAGGAUGCUGAGAAUGACCAGAUUAGAGCGGAUUCCCUUCCUCUCCAUGAUUUUAACCAGAGAAAUAGCAGUAGGGUACCGCUCCAUUCUCACAAGGAAUCCCAAAAUCUUUCCAACACUCUGAAACGGGGUAUACCAAAAGUAUGAUAUGAUUCUAGCUCUCUUUCAAAAGGGAGAGAGCGGAAGCCUUUCUUCAUGCCAUGAUAUCCAGAGGUUUGUUGAAAUAAAUAGGCAACUUGCUGCUGGGGAACCAUCAGAAAAUGCAACCAGAGGAACAAAGAAGCUUGAGUCAAUUUAAAUUGGGACUGCCACAAAUAGUUCAUUUUUCAACUCUAUUCGGUUUAAAGAAUUUCAUGUGUAAAAUAUAUUAAACAGGUGGGGCCAGGUUUGUCUUGUUGGAAUUGUGGGCAUAUGCUAUUAUUGAAGAGGGGUGUGUGAGGCCACGGAAUCUGACUACUUUUGCUUCUUUUUGUGCAUUUUAAGCCAAACUGAUACAACACAUCAGAGCAAAAGUUGGAAAACCCUUCUUCUCUUAUUGUUCUUGGAGUGAAGUGUUUUGGCUUGUGGCUUCAAUUAGAAUGGAAAAGGAAAAUAUGUAAAGGGGACACAAGAGACCAAUGGAUCAUAUCUUAUGCCAUAAAAACAUUAAAUAAUUAGAUGACACUGCAGAAAGUUAGAUUUCAGAGGAAGGGUCCCAUUCUGAAAUCACAGGAUUAAAAUCAUGAAUGUUUUUUAUAUGUAGUGUGUCACAUCCUUCAUUUUACUUGCACAGAAUCAUAAACGGUUUGUUAUGAUUAUAUCUACAUAGGUGUUUGAAAAGGGAUAGAAAAUCACAUGGUUUAGCAUGUAAGAAAGUCUUUCCAAAUUUGACUUAAGUAUUUAGUUGCUAUGAGGGAGAAAAAUGAGAAGUAAUGUUUUGUACAAAAAUCCUACCUAUUUGCAUCAGUAGUUAAACAAGUUUUGUUAUGUUUUUCUCUCAUGGCAAAUAUGUUUUAUCCUAUUAUAACUUGGGGCAAUUGCCAUAUUUACCUUGAAAUUCUAUGAGAAUAUGGUUUCCUGGUUUACUAGAUAUUUAAAUUGCCCUCACUAAUCAAUAAGUUGAAUAAAGAUUUUGAAAAAAUAAAAUUAUUUUACAUGUUAGAGUUAUUACCCUGAGAUAAAUUUAUGCCCUUGAUCCAUUCACCAUUUAAACCUCAAUGACUUGGGCUAUUGCUCAGAUAACUCAAUUUUAUAUACCUUUUUUAUUGCAUGGUUUUGCUUUUGGGGGAAACUGUCCUUCUUUUUUAAAUGUACAAAUUAGUUUAAGAUCAGGGUUUGUUAUUUAUACUUUUCUCCUUUAUCUUAAUUCCCUUUUCAUAAAAAAAAAUGGCAAGAAGUAUCUUUCCAAUCAGAUAAUU